GCACCCGUAGCUCAGCUGGAUAGAGUACUAGACUACGAAUCUAGGGGUCCCAGGUUCGAAUCCUGGCGGGUGCGCCA
rnacentral:tRNA from 1 species